rnacentral:rRNA from 1 species
CACUCUAAGCGGUGGAUCACUCGGCUCAUGGGUCGAUGAAGAACGCAGCAAACUGUGCGUCAUCGUGUGAACUGCAGGACACAUGAACAUCGACAUUUUGAACGCAUAUCGCAGUCCAUGCUGUUAUGUACUUUAAUUAAUUUUAUAGUGCUGCUUGAACUACAUAUGGUUGAGGGUUG